AGUUUUAUAGUCAAUAAAUGAUUUAAAAUUGCAAAUUUUAAGGAAUAAAUUUAAUUUAUUAAGGCUU
rnacentral:tRNA from 3 species